AGAGUUUGAUCAUGGCUCAGAUUGAACGCUGGCGGAAUGCUUUACACAUGCAAGUCGAACGGCAGCAUAGGUGCUUGCACCUGAUGGCGAGUGGCGAACGGGUGAGUAAUACAUCGGAACGUGCCCAGUCGUGGGGGAUAACGUAGCGAAAGUUACGCUAAUACCGCAUACGAUCUGCGGAUGAAAGCGGGGGACCGUAAGGCCUCGCGCGAUUGGAGCGGCCGAUGUUAGAUUAGGUAGUUGGUGGGGUAAAGGCUCACCAAGCCGACGAUCUAUAGCUGGUCUGAGAGGAUGAUCAGCCACACUGGGACUGAGACACGGCCCAGACUCCUACGGGAGGCAGCAGUGGGGAAUUUUGGACAAUGGGCGCAAGCCUGAUCCAGCCAUUCCGCGUGCAGGACGAAGGCCUUCGGGUUGUAAACUGCUUUUGUACAGAACGAAAAGCCUUGGGUUAAUACCCUGAGGUCAUGACGGUACUGUAAGAAUAAGCACCGGCUAACUACGUGCCAGCAGCCGCGGUAAU
rnacentral:rRNA from 1 species